rnacentral:rRNA from 14 species
CGUAACGACUUCCCCGCUGUCUCCAGCAUAGACUCAGCGAAAUUGAAUUCUCCGUGAAGAUGCGGAGUUCCCGCGGUCAGACGGAAAGACCCCGUGCACCUUUACUACAGCUUGACAGUGGUAUUGGCGAUUAUUUGUGUAGGAUAGGCGGGAGUCUAUGAAACCAGGGCGCCAGUUCUGGUGGAGACAUCCUUGAAAUACCGCCCUGAUGAUUGUUAAUAUCUAACCGCGGCCCAUGAACCUGGGUCCGGGACCCUGUCUGGUGGGUAGUUUGACUGGGGCGGUCGCCUCCCAAAGAGUAACGGAGGCGCGCGAUGGUAGGCUCAGGACGGUUGGAAACCGUCUGCGAGAGUGCAAUGGCAUAAGCCUGCCUGACUGCGAGACUGACAAGUCGAGCAGAGACGAAAGUCGGUCAUAGUGAUCCGGUGGUCCCUCGUGGAAGGGCCAUCGCUCAACGGAUAAAAGGUACUCUGGGGAUAACAGGCUGAUACCGCCCAAGAGUUCAUAUCGACGGCGGUGUUUGGCACCUCGAUGUCGGCUCAUCUCAUCCUGGGGCUGUAGCCGGUCCCAAGGGUAUGGCUGUUCGCCAUUUAAAGUGGUACGUGAGCUGGGUUUAGAACGUCGUGAGACAGUUCGGUCCCUAUCUGCCGUGGGUGUAGGAUACUUGAGAGGAGUUGCCCCUAGUACGAGAGGACCGGGGUGGACGAACCUCUAGUGUACCUGUUGUGACGCCAGUUGCAUCGCAGGGUAGCUACGUUCGGA